CGUGACCUGGCUGAAGUCGGACGCUUAACCGACUGCGCCACCCAGGCGCCCCGCAGUUCUUGUAUUUUUACCUAAACAAGGGACUUAUCUAGUUCAACCUUACUCACAUCUCCUAUUUCCAAGAGCUGGGUUCCACGGCCGCUUUCCUGCUUGCUCAGGGGAGAUCUUCCAGAAAGAAGCCUGCCGUGUCUUCACAGCUCAGCCAUGCUCCUGUUGCUCAUCCCAGUACUGGGGACGCUUUUUUCCCUGAGAGACACCAGUGCCCAGUCAGUGACCCAGCUUGAUGGCCAUGUCACUGUCUCUGAAAAAGCCCAUCUGGAGCUGAGGUGCAACUACUCCUAUGGGGCAACUCCUAAUCUCUUCUGGUAUGUGCAGUACCCCAACCAAGGACUCCAGCUUCUCCUCAAGUACUUCUCAGGGCCACCAAAUGUCCUGGUUCAAGGCAUCAAAGGUUUUCAGGCUGAAUUUAGGAAGAAUGAAACCUCCUUCCACCUGAGGAAACACUCGGCCCACUGGAGCGACUCGGCCAAGUACUUUUGUGCUGCAAGUGACACAGUACCUUGGACUGCAGGGGGAGCUGAACACAAACCUCUUGAGGCACUAAGGAGGCUAAGUGCAUCUGAAAGGUUUUGGAUUCUGACAUAGUAGGA